rnacentral:rRNA from 1 species
UACGGAGGAUCCGAGCGUUAUCCGGAUUUAUUGGGUUUAAAGGGAGCGUAGGUGGAUUGUUAAGUCAGUUGUGAAAGUUUGCGGCUCAACCGUAAAAUUGCAGUUGAAACUGGCAGUCUUGAGUACAGUAGAGGUGGGCGGAAUUCGUGGUGUAGCGGUGAAAUGCUUAGAUAUCACGAAGAACUCCGAUUGCGAAGGCAGCUCACUGGACUGCAACUGACACUGAGGCUCGAAAGUGUGGGUAUCGAACAGG